UUGGCUAAAACCAACCAGCCCCCAGAAAGGCUGGGAACCCAGAAUAUGUAAUACAUAGAAGUCAGUCUCCCAGGGCACUUGGGAAGGCAGAGAAGGGUGGAGGUACAGCAAACAGAGAAAAUCAGGUACAGCAAACAGAGAAAAUCCUUAACAAUCUUCAUUAUCUGUCAUCAUGUCAGACCAGUAAGUCAGUUAAUCUUUUAUUGAUCAUCCUCAUGGACAUGAAGCAUCUGUAGAAGAUUGGCUUGCUGAACAGCUGAUCCAACCUCUCUCUGGAGUACCCUCCUGUAUUUAAGAAGCUGUAAAGAUAAAAACUACAUUUCCCAGACUUCCUUGCAACUAGGGCGCUGCUUGUAAUUAACUUUUCACCAGUGAUACUUGCUUAAUCUCAGAAACAGUUCAGUGGAGAGACAGAAGUCUGUGAGGCAUCAAUAUUAAAUCUCGCAGUUUGCAUUUAGGAUGUGAAGCAAUGGAUUCCUGCUAAGCAAUUCUUGCAGUGGUGUAUGCUUGGAGCCAAUACUUGCCAUGGUAGAUUACUGUACUCUGAAGGUAUUACGGUUUCAACCAUUGGUGCAGUGGUUUCCUGAACCCAGAUUCCCGAUUGUUCCCAUGUCUGGCAGCUCCGUAGCGUUGUUCUGAGAAUCCUUCCUAAAGAGCCUUCACACCUACCAGUGAGUGGUGUGAUUUUAAUCUGCAUUAAAUUAUCUGUCGUUUAAAAAUUACUAGCGUGGCUUAAUUCUCUUGAGCUGACACAGGGGCCAAGCUUGUUGCUUUCUGAAUUUUUUUUCUACUUUCGCAUUGUAAAACUGUAAUUAAAGACAAUUUGGGAGAGUAAGAAGAAAAAUGCCCACAAGCCAUGUUACUUCCCUACCUUUGCCUAAAUGUGCAGCUGGACUCUACUUUUUGCAUUAACUAUUAUCAUAAAUGUUUUCCUAGGUGUUAAGCAUCUGAAUUAUUUUUAAAGACUGCGUAAUUUUCCUUCAAAUAUUUUGAAAUACUCAAUGAUAAUACCCAAUAUUGAUACAGAUGUGAGUGAUAGGACACUAUCAUCUAUACCACUAGGAGCAUAAAUUGGUACAACUUUUUAAUUUUUUUUUGAGACGGAGCUUCACUCUUGUUUCCCAGGCUGGAGUGCAGUGGUAUGAUCUUGGCUCACUGCAACCUCCACCUCCCAAGUUCAAGCCAUUCUCCUGCCUUAGCCUCCCAAGUAGCUGAGAUUACAGGCAUGCACCAACACACCUGGCUAAUUUUGUAUUUUUAGUAGAGAUGGGGUUUCACCGUGUU
rnacentral:lncRNA from 1 species